GAAUUGAUGAAUGCUGCUAAAAUGUUAGAAGAACAAUUGGCUGAAAUUGAAGAAUCUAUGUCUAACCCAACUAAGUCAAACGAGCAGAAAGCGCGUAUAGCUAUUGAUUCUCCCCUUGAGAACCCACAGUUUCCAGCAUCAGAUUUACGGAAGAGUUCAAUUGAGGAUAUGGAAAACAAAGUUACACGUACCCCAGAGAAACCAGAAGAGGUCUCUCAAUCAGAUGAGAAACCAUGCAUCUCUGAGUCAAAAACUGCCGAGGAAGUUAAUUCUCAGCUUGAUCAAAAUUCCCUUCGUCAAGAUAUUCUGGCUCGCAAGAGGAAAGCAGUUGCGUUGAAGCGAGAAGGGAAAGUGGCAGAAGCCAAGGAGGAACUUCGACAGGCAAAACUCUUGGAGAAGCACCUUGAGGAGGAAAAGACUCUGGGUAGUAGUAGUUCCACAGUCUCAGUGGGUCCUAAUACUUCACAUGUUGGACAAAAUGAAGCUAGCCCAAACAAAGUACCUGAUAUAUCUCAAGUAGGACAGAAAGAAGUAAGUCCCAGCUCAGGUCCAAAGCCAUUGUCUGGACGCGAUCGGUUUAAAUUACAACAGCAGUCUCUCAGCCACAAACGACAAGCACUUAAGUUGCGAAGGGAAGGUAGGACAGAAGAAGCCGAUGCUGAAUUUGAAUUGGCAAAGGCUAUUGAGAGCCAGUUGGAAGAAGCGUCUUCACAAGGUGCAAUGCAGU
rnacentral:misc_RNA from 1 species